rnacentral:rRNA from 1 species
UACGUAGGUGGCAAGCGUUGUCCGGAUUUACUGGGCGUAAAGAGCGCGCAGGCGGUCGAUCAAGUCGCGUGUGAAAGCCCCCGGCUCAACUGGGGAGGGUCACGCGAUACUGAUCGACUCGAAGGCAGGAGAGGGUAGUGGAAUUCCCGGUGUAGUGGUGAAAUGCGUAGAUAUCGGGAGGAACACCAGUGGCGAAGGCGACUACCUGGCCUGUUCUUGACGCCUGAGGCGCGAAAGCUAGGGGAGCAA